rnacentral:rRNA from 1 species
GUGGUUUAAUUCGAAGCAACGCGAAGAACCUUUACCAGGUCUUGACAUCCCGAUGCUAUUUCUAGAGAUAGAAAGUUACUUCGGUACAUCGGUGACAGGUGGUGCAUGGUUGUCGUCAGCUCGUGUCGUGAGAUGUUGGUUAAGUCCCGCAACGAGCGCAACCCCUAUUGUUAGUUGCCAUCAUUCAGUUGGGCACUCUAGCGAGACUGCCGGUAAUAAACCGGAGGAAGUGGGGAUGACGUCAAAUCAUCAUGCCCCUUAUGACCUGGGCUACACACGUGCUACAAUGGUUGGUACAACGAGUUGCGAGUCGGUGACGGCGAGCUAAUCUCUUAAAGCCAAUCUCAGUUCGGAUUGUAGGCUGCAACUCGCCUACAUGAAGUCGGAAUCGCUAGUAAUCGCGGAUCAGCACGCCGCGGUGAAUACGUUCCCGGGCCUU